GUGCCAGAGACAGCAGCACAAGAACUUUGGUCUCUUCCAGUCAUCAGUGAUGGAAUGAGUGUCUGGCACUUCCCAGGAAGCUGAGCUUUAAUGGGUCAGGAGAGAGCUCUCCAUCCUGCUGAACUGAGACAUUCCUUUCCCACUAUGCAGAUCAGUUUGGAAGCCUUGUCAGAAACAAUUCCUUAAGUUCAACCCAAAUUCAUAGACAGUUCCAGUUCCCCUCAACUGAGCACAAUCCUGGAGUAUUUUCAUGCCUGUUCUGGAUCUGGAGAGAUGUCAUAGGUCCUGGGAGCUGUCCCUCACCAAGCUGCUGAAGUUCAGCACCGUCACAAACACAGAACCACCCCAGCUCCCCUGGGCCAGCAAAGCAGGUCUGAGCCUCCUGAGCUUCUCU